rnacentral:rRNA from 1 species
GAUGAACGCUGGCGGCGUGCAUAACACAUUCAAGUCGAACGAGGUAGCAAUACCUAGUGGCGGACGGGUGAGUAACGCGUGAGCAACCUGCCCUUGUGUGGGGGAUACCGUCUGGAAACGGACGUUAAUACCGCAUAACGUUACGGAAUCGCAUGGUUCUAGUAACCAAAGAUUUAUUGCGCAAGGAUGGGCUCGCGUUGGAUUAGAUAGUUGGUGAGGUAACGGCCCACCAAGUCUGCGAUCCAUAGCCGGACUGAGAGGUUGAACGGCCACAUUGGAACUGAGAUACGGUCCAG